GGGAGGCAGGGCGACAACUACCCGCUGUUCCUGGCCAGGCUCUCAACUUCCAAAAGAUUCCCAGGCCCGGGCAAAGGUGAGCCAGUUUGGAGAUAAGAACGUGGCUUUCCCAUCUCCUCCAGAGAGCUGGAGAGCCCAGGUGGGCAGCCUUCCAAGACAUUCUCUCCGGGCAUCCUCCCUCUUUGUGUUUCUCUUGAAAUGUUCAGAGCUAGAUUGAAAUGCAGAUGACAAUUGGCCUUUAAUAGAUUCACUCGAAUGGUCCCGUAAUGCUCUGGAUCCCUAAUGUCCAAGGCCAGAAGGCUGUGAUGCAGAGGCCAGUGUGGAGUAGUGGAAAGGACAGCCUUGCCUCUGCUGGGCAACCUUAAACAAGCCCUUUAGUCUCUUCCAGCCUCAUUUACCUUAUCCGUGAAGUGUAGAAGAUUCUUGCCUGAUGGAGUGGUUGCGAGGAUCAGAUGGGUGUUCAACUUGUUUGUGUAAAGCCGCUUUGUAAGCUGUGAAGUGCUGUGCAAAAUUACGGUGGUCACUUUGUACCCUGGAGGAGCCUUGUUCAGGUCCCUUUCUGAGGAAGGGAGCAGCAGAGGCCCAGAUGCUGACUUGGCUUCCAGAACGUGUCUCUGGGGCCUUGCCCAAUCACUCUGGGAAUGCCCUUGGCCCUGUGGAAAAGCUUAAGCUGUGUACACAAAGUCAUCUGAUGUCUGCCGUCUGUGCUUCCAAGGCUGCGAUGGGCUGUUUCGGGCCCCUGCUAAUUAAUACGCAAGUGUAGAGGGUACCUGCCUCCACUAAAGCUCAAGACAAGUCUGAAGAUGAAAUCCCACUGCUGGUACCAGUGAAGGAAACUCCAGCUGCAGGAAGCAUAGAGACACAAAAAGAUGCCACAGGAAAGAAGUCUCCAAAGAAGAGUCCUGGUACACACCUCAUGGGAAGAAGAGAAAGGCCUCCCCAGCUUUGGAGACCCCAACAGAUGCGGAGCCCAAGACCCCAGGUAAAGGCCCAGGGAAGAAGUCAAGAAUCAGAGAAGAGUUGGAGAAAGAAAGAACCUCUUCGCUGGGGAAAAAAGACCCAAGACAGACUCCUAAAAAGCCUGAGGCCAAGUUCUUCACUACUGCUAGUAAAUCUGAGAAAAAAGCUCCCCGUACCCCCAAAGAGUGGCCCCCAAAACUCAAAGUACCCCAGUCAACCUAAAAUCAGAGACUCAACCAGCAGGAAACUCAUCAGAGCUAUCCAAAGAGCUUGUAAAAAAUACCUGGGUCCUGACCCCCGUUGUAACUACUGAGUGAGGCCUAGACUUAAAUAUUUUUUAAAACCUCCACAAGUAAUUCUGAUGCAUGUUCAUGGGUGUAAGAACCAGUAGUGUGAAGUAAAUCCAUUUAUUUCAUUGCU